CUCUUUAUCAACUUGCAUCCCAUUUUCAACCUCUUCCGAGUCCACCGUUUUUUUUUUCCUCUUCAGAUCUGUUCCUUAUCAUUUAUCUGCUUCUGAUGCUGUAUUCAGACCUGUGUAGAUCGUUCGCCGAUCUACAGUUUGAAUAUGGUUUCGAGUUGCAUCGGACAUCGAUUUUUUGAUCGUUGGGCCGGAGGUUUUGUUACGAAACGUUUGACUUUGAGAAAUGAGUUGAUGAAAGCUUCAUAAUUUGGAAGAGUAGCUCUUGUCUGCUUGUUAGUUGUUCCAAAGCAACCAAAUCUGGUUAUUCAAGUCGAUUCGAGGUUUCAUCGUUUGCUGCUAGAGUUCUGUCGGUUUGAUUCUACAUGCGGCUCAAAUUGACCACAUAUCUGUUCUGUAGAGCUGCUUGACUAAUCAGAUCUGAUUGGUGCUUCAACUGUCGAACUGUGGGUCGAUUAGCCGAUGGUUAUCGGCGAGGUUGUGGUUGUUAGAGAAGGUUUAUCAUUGUUUAAUUUGUUGUCUAUUAUGAGUUGCAUCAUUGAUGAGCAUUAACCUUUCUGAUACGCAUGCAUAUGUACGUACGAGUUAGUUAUAUUGUCAUAGAGAAAAAGAGAUUUUUGUUGUUGUUUUCCGACCUUUGCCAUGAUGGGUGCGCUCGCAUGGCAGGUCACUAUACCCAAUAAAGUUUCUAUUUUUUGUUUUGGGAGAGAGCUGGCACAGGUUUUUUGCCUGGCGCUCCUCUCUUUGUGUCUUGUCUUUUGUUUUUUCUCUUCCUUGUUCCAUAGAUUUAUGCGCAAGAUCAAUACCACCAAGAACGUCACAUCAGAUUGUUGGUUACUUGCCCUUUGAAUGAUGGUCUUUUAUUCAAGGGCAAGUGAACUUAAAUUUGACAUUGGUCAGGCUAAUGCUAGGAUUAAUCUGCUCCAGCACUCCAAUCAAAGGUACAAGAACGAAUUCCCUUCACAAACAUUUACGUUCAACUUGGCAUAUAGCAUAUUGCCGUUCCAUGAGUAAGUCUUUCAAGUAGCAGUCCUUAUACAAUUCCCUCUACAUUUAAUGCUCAUCUUAGACAACGAUGGCAAUAUUGAUCUACUUGUCAAAAAUGAGAUCUAACUAUUAAUUCCAAGCUAGUGAGACGCUAAUAAAUUGCUUAUUAAAAAUAAAUACUCUUUUAUGAAUCGUAUUGUGCGAGAUUAUAGAGCUACAUUCUAUCUAGGAAUAUUAUAAAACUCCUUUGCAAGAAAAAAUGUUACUACAUUUGGUAACAGUUAACAACUUGAUAACUUAAUUACAUUUUUGAAUGGGUAAACUAGUUUCUAAAAUAUUAGGUUUUGCAAAUAUGUCCGCUUUGAUUGACAGGCGUGCGGCAUACUUCCUAGUUGGUUGUUCUUAUAAAACGAGAUUGUUAACCCUGUGAAUUAUCCGUUACCACUUCUCUUGUUUAGAUUUCCGAUGAUUUCCAGUGUUAUCUUCGUCCAAGUAAUUAGAAUGUGUAGUGUGGAAUUCUUUUUAUUCAAAUGUUUCACUGUCUUCCUAAUUUUUAUUAGUUUGUGGCAUGUUAGAGUUUCAAUAGUCAGUUAUUGAUUGGUAAAACUAGUGGGAAAAUUUGUUGUAAUGUGCAAAUUUGAAUGGUAAGUUUUGUGAGUGCAGUAUUUUAUUUUGUAAUCUUGGAGGGGUGAAUCGUAUGUUCUCAAAUAUGUUUCAGUAUUUGGAGAGAAUGUCAUUCUUCUCUCCACUGGAUUUGAGAUGGUGCUCUCUACUUGUUGAAGAUCAAUAAAAGCAUUUGCCUCUGUUGAGGUGAUCAACCAACUUGGGAUGCUGCUGAAUUACACUGGAAAAGGUGAUGUUCUACUGCUGAAUUGAUUAAGGCUAUGUUGAUUUCUUGCUUCUUUUCCGUGUUGGAUAUUAUUCAUCGCUUGGGAUACUUUUGUAAACCAAAGUGUCAGCUGUGUUUGCUGUCUUUACUGUCAGUUGGAAUAGCUGUCUGAAAUUGAGGCUUCUCUCUUUGUUCGAAUACUUUCGAGGUGUUGCCGUCUUAUCGAUGUAGCUGGUCCAGAUUGUUCGGUGUAUUGCUUGAGCGAUAGGGUUAAUUUAUAAGUUCCAAAGUUUAUGUUGAUUGCAUUCUACGUUGAUGCUCUUAAAGAAAACAACAUCAUCCUGAUACCUGCAAGGGGGUCUCCCACUUUUAUUUUAUUUCAUGUCUUUGAUCUAUCUAAUUUUUUGCUAUCUUUUAUGAAAUGGAUAUUGCAACUUUUGUAGAUGAUAGAAAACUUACUACCAUACCUAAUUUGAGAAUUUUCCUGUGUCUAUAGUAGAGUGUAUUCAGAAAAUCUGCUAUCUUGUGCUAAUUCGCUAGGUUGUGGAAGUUUAUUUCUUCUUGCUGAAGGUUACUUCAAGGAAAUAUUGACAUCUGGUACAUGUUGUCUUGAUCGUUUGUUGAGGUUAUCGGAUCCAAGAGCUCGGCCUAUGGGGGAGCGCUCAAUUGUGUUCAGUUGAGAGGACGGUGGUUCGAAUCCACCUGGAUUCCUUUUGCAGUUUAUUAUCGCUAUAUACUUAAAUUGAGAAUAACAAGCGACAUUUUGAUUUAGUCGAGCACUUAAGCAUGUUUGGAAAGCCACAAAGGGAAAUUAGGUGGGUGUAAUUUACACGGUUUGACAUAUUCUUACUUGGUCAUUAUAGAAUUAGGUGUCAUUGAGACUCCAAUUCUUGGAGGAGACGAGGUGAAAAUUGGUACUAGUAAUUACAUUGUGUAAUUGCAAGAUAAUGUUAUAUUUC